CCAAUAGCGUAUAUUAAAGUUGUUGCAGUUAAAAAGCUCGUAGUUGAACUUCGGGGUUCACCCAUUGGUCAGGCUUAAUUGUCUGCACUGGUGAGAUGAAUCUCUACCUUCUGAGGAACUUUCAUGCCAUUUAUUUGGUGUGAUUGGAAAUCAGGACUGUUACUUUGAAAAAAUUAGAGUGUUUAAAGCAGGCUAACGUCUGAAUACAUUAGCAUGGAAUAAUGAAAUAGGACGGACUGAUUCUAUUUCGUUGGUUUCUAGGAUCACCGUAAUGAUUAAUAGGGAUAGUUGGGGGCAUUAGUAUUCAAUUGUCAGAGGUGAAAUUCUUGGAUUUAUUGAAGACUAACUACUGCGAAAGCAUUUGCCAAGGAUGUUUUCAUUAAUCAAGAACGAAAGUUAGGGGAUCGAAGACGAUCAGAUACCGUCGUAGUCUUAACCAUAAACUAUGCCGACUAGGGAUCGGACGAAGUUAAUUUUAUAAUGACGCGUUCGGCACCUUACG
rnacentral:rRNA from 1 species